rnacentral:misc_RNA from 1 species
CCCGACGCCCCUGCGUACGCUCCCUCCAUGGCUCCCUGUUCCUCAGCUCCAUGGGCGCGAGCCCCUUCUUCUACCUCUAGCCGGCGGCGAGCAACAGCCCCACCUCCCUGCGCCCUUCUCCCCCAUGGGCUGCUUAUCCAGCUCGUCCCUCUCCUCCCCUCUGUUUUCCUGUGCGUGCGCAGAGGCUCCUCCAUGGCCAGCGCCCAGCAACAGUAGCAGUCGGGUCUUCGUCCUCCCUCUGCUGUCCGCGGCAUGCAGCAAACAGGGAGCUCGAGUUUCUUCCAUGGCUGCCGACCUCCUCUGCCCCCUUGCUG